rnacentral:rRNA from 1 species
GACGGGGGGUCCUAGCGUUGUUCGGAAUCAUUGGGCGUAAAGCGUGCGCAGGCGGUUCGUCGUGUCCGAUGUGAAAGCCCCGGGCUCAACCUGGGAAUGGCAUUGGAAACUGGCGGGCUUGAGUGUGGCAGAGGGGGGUGGAAUUCCGCGUGUAGCAGUGAAAUGCGUAGAGAUGCGGAGGAACACCGAUGGCGAAGGCAGCCCCCUGGGCUAACACUGACGCUCAGGCACGAAAGCGUGGGGAGCAAACAGG